rnacentral:rRNA from 1 species
AUUGAACGCUGGCGGCAGGCCUAACACAUGCAAGUCGAACGAGUGGCGGACGGGUGAGUAAUGUCUGGGACACUGGCUGAUGGAGGGGGAUAACUACGGGAAACUGUAGCUAAUACCGCAUACCAUCAGCUGGGCCCAGAUGGGAUUAGCUAGUGGGUGUGGUAACGGCUCACCAAGGCGACGAUCUCUAGCUGGUCUGAGAGGAUGACCAGCCACACUGUGACUGAGACACGGCCCAGACUCCUACGGGAGGCAGCAGUGGGGAAUAUUGCACAAUGGGCGCAAGCCUGAUGCAGCCAUGCCGCGUGAAUGAAGAAGGCCUUCGGGUUGUAAAGUUCUUUCAGCGGGGAGGCGUUACCCGCAGAAGAAGCACCGGCUAACUCCGUGCCAGCAGCCGCGGUAAUAC